rnacentral:rRNA from 1 species
UACGUAGGGUGCAAGCGUUGUCCGGAAUUAUUGGGCGUAAAGAGCUCGUAGGCGGUCUGUCGCGUCUGCUGUGAAAAUCCAGGGCUCAACCCUGGACCUGCAGUGGGUACGGGCAGACUAGAGUGCGGUAGGGGAGAUCGGAAUUCCUGGUGUAGCGGUGAAAUGCGCAGAUAUCAGGAGGAACACCGGUGGCGAAGGCGGAUCUCUGGGCCGUAACUGACGCUGGAGGAGCGGAAAGCAUGGGGAGCGAACAGG